rnacentral:tRNA from 1 species
GCCCCCGUAGCUCAGAGGAUAGAGCGAUGGCUUCCGAAGCCAUGCGUCGUAGGUUCGAUUCCUAUCGGGGGUACCA